rnacentral:miRNA from 3 species
ACAACCUCCUUGAGUGAG